rnacentral:misc_RNA from 1 species
ACGCUAAUAAAAAAAAAAAAAAAACACUGAAACUUGAAAACAACGUCGUCGUUUAAGCUAUCAGAGAAACUCAGCACCCUAAACCUUACGCAGAAAAACAGAAAAAGGAUAGCUCCCCUUUGUCUCUUUCUCUUCUGUUUCUUUCUGGAACGGUGUGAGCGGUCAGAGGCGCUCCGAUGAAGAUAUUCCGGGUAUAUGUUCCGACGAGGGUUUAAAAAGUUGGGGAUAGAGAGAAAAACGAAAGGCGAGGAAAAAA